GAUGAACGCUGGCGGCGUGCCUAAUACAUGCAAGUCGAGCGAACAGAUGAGGAGCUUGCUCCUCUGACGUUAGCGGCGGACGGGUGAGUAACACGUGGAUAACCUACCUAUAAGACUGGGAUAACUUCGGGAAACCGGAGCUAAUACCGGAUAAUAUAUUUAACCGCAUGGUUCAAUAGUGAAAGACGGUUUUGCUGUCACUUAUAGAUGGAUCCGCGCCGCAUUAGCUAGUUGGUAAGGUAACGGCUUACCAAGGCAACGAUGCGUAGCCGACCUGAGAGGGUGAUCGGCCACACUGGAACUGAGACACGGUCCAGAAUCCUAAGGGAGGCAGCAGUAGGGAAUCUUCCGCAAUGGGCGAAAGCUUGACGGAGCAACGCAGCGUGAGUGAUGAAGGUCUUCGGAUCGUAAAACUCUGUUAUUAGGGAAGAACAAAUGUGUAAGUAACUAUGCACGUCUUGACGGUACCUAAUCAGAAAGCCACGGCUAACUACGUG
rnacentral:rRNA from 1 species